GAUGUGACUGUGUCAGUUGACUCUCGCCCUGGGGGCAGUGAGUGUGUCGGUCCGGCCCUCGCCCGAGGGUCGGUAGGGAGUAAGACCCCGAAAGUGUCGCUAUAAUCGUCCUUCAGCAGUGAACAAGGACCCCGCCCAGGAUCACUGGUUGAAGACCCGUCGUCGGACUAGGCGUUGAAGGAACCUUUAGUGCAGUUUCGACACGAGUCGCUUCUGUCGCCACGGGUCGUCAGACUCUUAUUCCGGCCUCGUUACUAGACUUUGAGAUCCCUGACCCACGUCAACCUUGAGUACUGUGGGCACCGGGUAGCGGUAGUUUCUCAAGGGGUCCCGUUUAUCAAGCCGAGAAAUUAAAAUUCACCCGGUUGGGUACGCAGCGGGCAGCCUGCAAACGAGGCUAGGAGGGUGACAGCCGUCCAGCGCAUUUCCCGUCAAUGACAAGAGGUCCUUGUAACAGUGUUACCGUAUCAACAUCGUUGGAGUGUGGAAU